rnacentral:rRNA from 1 species
UGGCACCUCGAUGUCGGCUCAUCACAUCCUGGGGCUGAAGCAGGUCCCAAGGGUAUGGCUGUUCGCCAUUUAAAGUGGUACGCGAGCUGGGUUCAGAACGUCGUGAGACAGUUCGGUCCCUAUCUGCCGUGGGCGUAAGAGUUUUGAGAGGAGCUGCUCCUAGUACGAGAGGACCGGAGUGGACAUACCUCUGGUGCACCGGUUGUCACGCCAGUGGCACGGCCGGGUAGCUAAGUAUGGACGGGAUAACCGCUGAAAGCAUCUAAGCGGGAAGCCUCCCUCGAGAUGAGAACUCUCAGACGUAAGUCUCUAAAGGUCUGUUGAAGACUACAACGUAGAUAGGCUGGGUGUGUAAGUACAGUAAUGUAUUUAGCUAACCAGUACUAAUUGACCGUGAGGCUUGGUCAUAUAACACUAAAG